UACGUAGGGGGCUAGCGUUGUCCGGAAUCAUUGGGCGUAAAGAGCGUGUAGGCGGCCCGGUAAGUCCGCUGUGAAAGUCCAGGGCUCAACCCUGGGAUGCCGGUGGAUACUGUCGGGCUCGAGUCCGGAAGAGGCGAGUGGAAUUCCUGGUGUAGCGGUGAAAUGCGUAGAUAUCGGAAGGAACAUCAGUGGCGAAGGCGACUUCCUGGACCAAUACUGACGCUCAGGUGCGAAAGCGUGGGGAGCAAACAGG
rnacentral:rRNA from 1 species